rnacentral:misc_RNA from 1 species
UAGAGUUGUAAAACUCCCAAACCCAUGUGAACUUACCUGUUGCCUCGGCGGAACUGGCCCGCCGCCGGAGGACCACCAAACUCUUUUUUAUCACUGUAUCUCUGAGCAAGAAAACAAAUAAGUUA